GAUGGAAGAAUGUGUCAGUUGGUGCGGUGGAGUACAGUUUUUCUUCAUCAUGUACAUAGACGCUGCUACUGGGUUGAAUGACCUGUUAACAUCUGCUUCCAAAAUAUACAGUUUACCGCUAAGGCUAAUUCACAUCACUCAAAUCUUUCCAGUGUAAAGAUUUUUUUAACAUGACCUUUUAUUUUCACAACAACUAAAAUAAGCUUAACUCUCUGUUCUGCGACUAUUUAUGAACGGAAAUGCGGAAAUGAAGUCUCAGGUAUUUGCUUUUCAAAAAAUGAAGCAGGUCCAAAAAGGCUGGUUUAUUUCAAAUUUGUUGCUUAAUGGAUAUUAAUGGAACUUUUAAAUUGGCAUAAAUGGAACCAUAGUAUCUUUUUAUUCUGAUGUUAAUCUAAAAUCUUUUCUCCACAUUCGCUGAAAUGUGUUUAACCUGGUUUAGGGUUUGGCAGUGACUUUCCAAACAGGGAUGUGAUAUUUUUCCUUCACUGCAUGGAACAAAGAGUGGCCUGUCUCAAUGCUUUUACACCUUCAGGGGGUUUAGGCUUAUGAAACAUCUGGCUACAUAGUGGACCACAUCUGGAUACAUAGAUUUUAUUUUAUUUUAUUUUAUCAAAACAUAUUAGACAUACAGGUUAGACAUGAAAUAUAUAAAAAUUCUAGAAAUUAUACUGUUUUCUUGCACUUAAAAUGUUUUAUUUAAAAAAAGUUGAAUCAAAAAGAAACCACCAGAUUUAGCAACUUUAUGACAUAACUUUUUUGCCAUGUACGAGUCAAAAUGCCAUGUAAAGGACAGUGAUUUCUCUCUGCCUACAUGCUGGCCAUGCAAAACAUAAGGGCAUUUACAGCAAAACCAGUGUGGCAGGUUUACCAAUCACCACUGGCAGCCUCCGUCUGGUUCGGGGCCAUCAGGUUACCAUAAUGAAACUCCCAGUCCCAUUUUCCAUGCCAAAAGAUAUGAUGGCUUCCAACAAUAACUAAACACUGCUAAAAUGCUAUAAUUCUUAAAUAUAUAGAACCUCAAUCUGAGGAUGAAAAUACUCACCCACGCUCUGCAUUUACUACACUUGAACGUUGUAUACAAAUAAAACAGAGAGUUCAAAUGUAUGUUAAUGUAUACAAAGCAUAUGUAAAUAAAGUAACUGAUACAAGGAAACAAAAGCAGAAAUAGAAAAGCUAGCAAAAAGAGGGCAUUUAUAGUGGAAAAAAUGAAACUGGUUACACAGCUAAGAUUGGCCAUGAUUGUAGGCUAAAUAUAUGAAGAAGAAAAAAAACUAUAUUGGCUAACAUGAAAGUACCUUUUAAUAAACAUUAUUAGGUUUAUAACAGUCAUUAGGUUUAUUUAUAUCCACAGAGUCUGGGUAGCUCCACCCACCGUAAAAUCUUAAUGGUCUAAAUGUAUACUAAACGUUUUGAUCUUCAUCACAAGACAUUAUAAUGGUCAUCAAAAUGUAAGAAGCUACAACAAUAUGCCUUUCGUUUCAUGCUACCAAGAUUCAAAUCUGAAUAUCUGAGGAAGAAUGAAUUUCUUUUCCAAAUAUAGGCCAUCGUUUUGCUCCACUAGUAGUCACUUCUCCUGUUCCAGUGGUCAGAGGUAGGAAAAUUUCAGCGCUUAAAAUGGUUGUGGUCUAGUUUCAGCGUUGCACCAUUUUUCACUUCACUUUCCACUUUCUCCCUGCUCUGUUUAUGGGUUAACCACACGUUCACUCAUUCAUUCAGCACAGCACAGAUGCUGCUGUAGGCAUCGUGCGGCCUGGGUGCAUGUGAAUUAUAUGGGUGCCAAAACACUGCAGUUAAGUAAGUCAGAGAAUGCUAAAAAUAUAUUGAUUUCAAUGGGAAGGUGUGCAUCACGAUGUUGAGAUUCAGAAAGUUACACUCUCUCAUAGAAUUAAAACUUUUUCUGCAACACUCUAAUAAAGCCGCAAUCACAUUUCCAUGUAUAUGAAAUUCAGUCUUUCCAAUAGAAAUCCAUGCAAAUGGGAAGUUCGCGCAAAGGUGAAAGAUUUCCCUACACAGAUUUUGUACCAGGUUCAAGUUGGUCACAUAAAUGGGCCUCAUUGACGAAAGCUGAAAUUUUACUGAAAAUUGUGAACAAAAUUGUGGACCAAUGACAUUUCAGAGUGGGUGUGGCUACCUGGCACAAUGGUACAGAACUAGAAACCAAAUGUCAGGACCGUCACCUGUUACAGACGAGGGGGCAUGUGCAUGUGUGUUAGACUUACUGGACUUCAGGAUGUGAAGGCCCACUGUAUUACCCCGUUUCCUCUUCCUCUCUUCUCCCUUAUGGCUCACAUCAGGUAUAUAGUCCAUGGGAAAAGGAAGAGAGUGAGACGAAAGGGCGCCAAGUUCCCAUAAGAGCUGUUCCAAUUCUCAACAAUCCAUAACCAGCUUUACCAGCUCAGAAUGAAGGAAGUUCUGUGCUGACAUUGUGGAAAAAGCUGUAGUAAGAGCCAGAUUGCUGGAGCAGGGAGAUUGGUGACCAGAGGAAGUAAUAAUAGCAUGUGUCCUGACUGAUAGGGUACUGGACCCUCUUGUAGUUUCAACAGUGACGCUGUUAAGUCUCGUGACGGCUUCCUUGCCUGCCCUGAGGAAUUUUUCCUGUCAAAGAAGUAUUUUUGACCCAAGAAUGCUUUGUUGUUCACUCUGAACAGCUUGUUAAGCAAACAUUCUUAUCUCAGAUCUCGAUGAGAAUCCAAGACCGCCACCAACUUCCCUCUUCUGACAUCACAACAGGUUGAGCAGAGGUCCUUGUGUGAUAGUAUAACCAGGAGAUGUCUUGAUCUUUGGGCUCCCAAAUAAUUAUAGCUACUGGAUAGUGAAGAGUCUCUGUCUAUAUAAAGGGUCAAAACACAAAGAUGGUGAGAGCAUGAAUCUCAUCAUAGUGGAAUAAUCUUCAGCAGAAUUCCUCAAAAUCAGAAAACCUUGAUGACACAGCACUCACUUGAAUACCUGAAUCAUAACAUCAUAGCCAUCUAUACUAAGGCAAGUUCUACUAUAUUUA